AUUAGUUAUGGAGUUACUUCCUCACUGAGGAUCUUCUCAAUGGGGGGAUUGGUCAUCAACAUAGUUUUCCUUGUAUGACAAGUACAAGGAUUAAGAACUACAUAAAUUUUAGGCGAUGCUAAUAGACAUGGCUUAGAGACAGCUCUGAAAGAAUCUCACAUGGUGUAUAUAGAUAUUUAUGUGGGAAAGGAAGAAAGAACUGGAUUCGUUUCCUAGUUUUACAUCACUAAGUGAUGAUGUUUUGUAAAAUAUGGAUAUGAAAAGCAUUUGAAGUAGCUUUACGCAG
rnacentral:misc_RNA from 1 species